AACGCGAAGAACCUUACCUACCCUUGACAUGUCCAGUAUGGUCACCAGAGAUGGAGUCCUUCAGUUCGGCUGGCUGGAACACAGGUGCUGCAUGGCUGUCGUCAGCUCGUGUCGUGAGAUGUUGGGUUAAGUUCCGCAACGAGCGCAACCCCUGUGAUUUGUUGCCACCCGGUUUACCGGCGCACUCGAAUCAGACUGCCUCGAUCAACGAGGAGGAAGGUGGGGAUGACGUCAAGUCCGUAUGGCCCUUACGACCAGGGCUGCACACGUACUACAAUGCUCAGCACAAUGUGACCCGAUACCGCGAGGUGGAGGCAAUCCUCAAAACUGAGCUCAGUUCAGAUUGGAGUCUGCAACUCGACUCCAUGAAGUUGGAAUCGCUAGUAAUGGUGCAUCAGCUACGGCACCGUGAAUACGUUCCCGGGUCUUGUACACACCG
rnacentral:rRNA from 1 species